GUUCUGACGUCCACAGCUUUGACUAGCAGGAACAGGGAAAUACGCAACAUAACGUUAGGAAAUAAAAAGGUUCUGCUCAAGUGACCGGUGAAAGAUUUAUAAGUUGGUUAGUCUGUUCCCAGAGGGUGGAUGAUGAUGAUGAUGAUGAUGAUGAUGAUGAUGAUGAUGAUGAUGAUGAUAAACUUGGCUGCCUUCAUUGUUGGCUGAUUCCUUUGGGACAAGAAGAGACGGCACAAGUGUCUACAGGAACUUGCCUGAUGUAUGUCUUCCAGACUCGCCCCUUCUCUGGCUGUCAGUCACAGACUCUGAUUCUGCCUGCCAUUAACUUUUUCUGAUCGAGUAAUAUUGGAAUUGUUUUCUUUUGCUUCGAACUUUGAUGUAUUAAAGCUAAAGUUUAAAGUUUUUCAUAUGCA